rnacentral:rRNA from 1 species
CCUACGGGUGGCAGCAGUGAGGAAUAUUGGUCAAUGGGCGAGAGCCUGAACCAGCCAAGUCGCGUGAGGGAGUACUGCCCUAUGGGUUGUAAACCUCUUUUGUCGGGGAGCAAAAGCCGGACGUGUCCGGCUGUGAGAGUACCCGAAGAAAAAGCAUCGGCUAACUCCGUGCCAGCAGCCGCGGUAAUACGGAGGAUGCGAGCGUUAUCCGGAUUUAUUGGGUUUAAAGGGUGCGCAGGCGGAGGCACAAGUCAGCGGUAAAAUCGCGGGGCUCAACCCCGCUCCGCCGUUGAAACUGUGUCCCGUGAGUGCGCGAAGGGUAGGCGGAAUGCGUGGUGUAGCGGUGAAAUGCAUAGAUAUCACACAGAACACCGAUUGCGAAGGCAUCUCACGAAUCCGCGAUUGACGCUGAUGCACGAAAGCGUGGGUAUCAAACAGGAUUAGAUACCCUUGUAGUC